UGCGCAGGCGGUUCGGAAAGAAAGAUGUGAAAUCCCAGAGCUUAACUUUGGAAUGGCAUUUUUAACUACCGGGCUAGAGUAUGUCAGAGGGGGGUAGAAUUCCACGUGUAGCAGUGAAAUGCGUAGAGAUGUGGAGGAAUACCGAUGGCGAAGGCAGCCCCCUGGGAUGAUACUGACGCUCAUGCACGAAAGCGUGGGGAGCAAACA
rnacentral:rRNA from 1 species